UCCGCAGUCCCUCAGAGCAGGGAGAAGCCAUGCCAUAGAUUUAAGCAGCUCUGAGUGCAGGAAGCCAUCAGAUCUGCUGGGACUGAAGGAAAUGAACAUGUGAACUGACUAUCAAAGGGUUUUUUCACCAAAUUGCUGGAGCACAGAAUUAGGCAGGCAGCUAGUUUUUCCUGCAUUAUUGCUCAGAAAAUGUCGUUCCUCUGUGUUCAGCCCUGCAGAUGACUGGCUCCACCUCUAGGCGAAUGACGGUUGGCUUUACAGGGUGAUCUGCCCAUCACUGUUUAUGCUGGGUUUUUUUAUUUUCAUUUUGGAAAAAUUAAACCAGAAUGUUCUGUUACAUUGAUGGCUCUUGGUAACCAGCACAACACUGCUGUUACACUUACCUGCAGAAAGGAGGAAUGAAAGUUUUCACUCUGUUCACUCUGUCGUGAAAAACUCCCAAAUAUUUCCUAAAUUGUAUACCUAAAUGUAUCGGCAAUGUCCCUUUUAAAAAAGUUUCUCACUACUGAGAAGAUCCUAUUGGAAUCAGUUAAUAUCAAAAUCCUUUUCGCUUUUCCUUUUUUUUUAAAUGACUGAAUUUGUUGUGCUUUUAUACCCAACACGUCUUUGUAUUUGCAUUCUCAAAUGCGAAGUGGAAAGGGGAACCUGGAUUGAAGAUUAAAGCGCAAAAGCUUUGGCAGAUUCUCCAAAAAUGCUACUUAAUGUAUUCUAUCAUUUAUUCUUCUUUUACUGGAACCAAAGUUUUCAUGGACUUGCACAUAUUCUCUGAAUACAUUGUGAGAAAGAAAUGAAAUACUUAAUGAUACAAUA